ACAUAUAUUCAAAUAUAUUCAUCCGGAGUUUCAGGGUGCGGUGUCAUCUGUACGCAGAUGAUGUCCAGCUCUGUCACUCCUUCCCACCUGUCACUCAGGAGGCUGUCCAGGUCCUGAACCGGUGUCUGGCCGCUGUGUCGGACUGGAUGAGGGCCAACAAAUUGAAAUUGAAUCCAGACAAGACAGAGGUCCUCCUGGUCAGUCGCAAGGCCGAACAGGGAAUAGGGUUACAGCCUGUGUUGGACGGGGUCACACUCCCCCUGAAGACACAGGUUCGCAGUCUGGGGGUGAAGGCCCGCUGGGGGAAAAUGGCUAUCUCCAGGUCUGGCUACCCAAGCGGCUUCGGUUUACCUUAUAAUUAUACCUCAAACCCCAAAGUAAAUACUCUAGAAGCUGAUUAAAGAUAACCAAAAAUAUGUUUAUUGAAAACAGGAAACAGUCCUUUUCAUGUAUUAGAAAUAAUAUGAAGUAAAAUCACUGAAAUUAUACAGAAAUAAAACUACCCUGUUUCCCCUAAAAUAAGACAUCCCCAGAAAAUAAGACCUAGUAGAGGUUUUGCUGAAUUGCUAAAUAUAAGGCCUCCCCCGAAAGUAAGACCUAGCAAAGUUUUUGUUUGGAAGCAUGCCUGCCAAACAGAACACCAGAGCAUGCAGGAUCGGUAAAUGUACAUACUAUAAAGUGUUGUACAUGGAAAUAUUAGUAACAAGAAAUUCUUGAUAGGAUUCACAGUUUGUCUGGUUAUGCUGGUUUGUGAUGACAACUACUGUACAGUAUAUAAUAAAUGUUCAUUUUUUGUUCAACAAUAAAUGUGAAUUCUUCUUCAUGGAAAAAUAAGACAUCCCCUGAAAAUAAGACCUAGUGCAUCUUUGGGAGCAAAAAUUAAUAUAAGACACUGUCUUAUUUUCGGGGAAACACGGUAUACUGAUUGAGAAUGAAAGCUAUAGAGACUAUAAAGGAUUAACACACAAGCUAUGAGGAAAGGUAGGUACUAUAGGGUAAGUACAAGGCUAUGAUAAGCACGAUCUAUAAUGACUUUAGUGGUAAAUACCAGCUAUAGUGAACUAUCUAUAAUAACUCUGAGGUAAACCAUAAGGUGAUAAGCUAUAAGGUAAGUACAUAAGGUAAGUACAUAAGGUAAGUACAAGGUGAACUAUAAGCUUUGCUAUCUUUGAGGUAAAUACCUAAAGCUAUGAUGUGACUAUAAGGUAAGUACAAGGCUAUGAGGUAAACUGUAAGGUAAGUACAUGGCUAUGAUGAACUCUAUCUGUAAUGGUAAGUAUGAGGCUAUGAGGUAAGUACAUAAGGUAAGUACAUAAGGUAAGUACAAGGUGAACUAUAAGCUUUGCUAUCUUUGAGGUAAAUACCUAAAGCUAUGAUGUGACUAUAAGGUAAGUACAAGGCUAUGAGGUAAACUGUAAGGUAAGUACAUGGCUAUGAUGAACUCUAUCUGUAAUGGUAAGUAUGAGGCUAUGAGGUAAAUCUAUAUAUAUAAAAGAGUGAUGGCAUCACGGCGACCCACAAAACAACAAAACUACAGGCCCCCCAACCUCGAAAUUUGACAACACAACCCAUCAUCCACGCCUCUAGGUUGAUACAACAAAAAGAAAAGAAAAAUAAAGUCCUAAUUAGAGGGAGAGGAGUAAUUGCUUUUAUCCAAUUGCUGCCAGUUAGAAGGCUAAGCUCCUCCAACU